AACCUGCCCAAGAGAUCGGGAUAACACCUGGAAACAGAUGCUAAUACCGGAUAACAANAGAUGAUGCCUAUCAACUGUUUAAAAGAUGGUUCUGCUAUCACUCUUGGAUGGACCUGCGGUGCAUUAGCUAGUUGGUAGGGUAACGGCCUACCAAGGCGAUGAUGCAUAGCCGAGUUGAGAGACUGAUCGGCCACAUUGGGACUGAGACACGGCCCAAACUCCUACGGGAGGCAGCAGUA
rnacentral:rRNA from 1 species